GACGAACGCUGGCGGCGGGCCUAAUACAUGCAAGUAGGACGCAGUUGCGAACGGGUGAGUAACGCGUAGGGAACUGCCUAUGAGAGGGGGAUAACUAUUGGCAACGAUAGCUAAUACCGCAUACUAGUAGAUGGACCUGCGUUGUAUUAGCUAGUAGGCAGGGUAAUGGACUACCUCGGCGACGAUACAUAUCCGACCUGACAGGGUGUGAUGCCACCCUGGGACUGAGACACGGCCCAGACUCCUACGGGAGGGAGCCGUAGGGAAUCUUCGGCAAUGGGGGGAACGCUGACCGAGCAACGCCGCGUGAGUGAAGAAGGUUUUCGGAUCGUAAAGCUCUGUUGUUUAGGAAGCGGUACUUAACCAGGAAGGGACGGCUAACUACGUGCCAGCCGCCGCGGUAAUUC
rnacentral:rRNA from 1 species